rnacentral:rRNA from 1 species
CGGUAAGGCCCCUUCGGGGGUACACGAGCGGCGAACGGGUGAGUAACACGUGAGCAAUCUACCCAUCACAUCGGGAUAACUCCGGGAAACCGAAGCUAAUACCGAAUACGACCACCUCAGGCAUCUGAUGGUGGUGGAAAGUUCCGGCGGUGAUGGAUGAGCUCGCGGCCUAUCAGCUUGUUGGUGGGGUAACGGCCCACCAAGGCUUCGACGGGUAGCCGGCCUGAGAGGGUGACCGGCCACACUGGGACUGAGACACGGCCCAGACUCCUACGGGAGGCAGCAGUGGGGAAUAUUGGACAAUGGGCGAAAGCCUGAUCCAGCAACGCCGCGUGAGGGAUGACGGCCUUCGGGUUGUAAACCUCUUUCAGCAGGGACGAAGCGAAAGUGACGGUACCUGCAGAAGAAGCACCGGCCAACUACGUGCCAGCAGCCGCGGUAAUACGUAGGGUGCGAGCGUUGUCCGGAAUUAUUGGGCGUAAAGGGCUCGUAGGCGGUCUGUCGCGUCGGGAGUGAAAACUCAGGGCUUAACCCUGAGCCUGCUUCCGAUACGGGCAGACUAGAGGUAUGCAGGGGAGAAUGGAAUUCCUGGUGUAGCGGUGAAAUGCGCAGAUAUCAGGAGGAACACCGGUGGCGAAGGCGGUUCUCUGGGCAUUACCUGACGCUGAGGAGCGAAAGUGUGGGGAGCGAACAGGAUUAGAUACCCUGGUAGUCCACACCGUAAACGUUGGGCGCUAGGUGUGGGACUCAUUCCACGAGUUCCGUGCCGCAGCUAACGCAUUAAGCGCCCCGCCUGGGGAGUAC